rnacentral:rRNA from 1 species
AUGGCUCAGGACAACGGCUGGCGGCGUGCCUAAUACAUGCAAGUCGAACGGUCUUUCUAUGGAAGCUUGCUUCCACUGAGAAGAUAGUGGCGAACGGGUGAGUAACACGUGGGGUAACCUGCCCAUAAGAGGGGGGAUAACAUCCGGAAACGGGUGCUAAUACCGCAUAGUUUUCUUGAUCGCAUGAUCGGGAAAGGAAAGACGGCCUUUGUGCUGUCGCUUAUGGAUGGACCCGCGGCGUAUUAGUUAGUUGGUGAGGUAACGGCUCACCAAGACGAUGAUACGUAGCCGACCUGAGAGGGUGAUCGGCCACAUUGGGACUGAGACACGGCCCAAACUCCUACGGGAGGCAGCAGUAGGGAAUCUUCCGCAAUGGACGAAAGUCUGACGGAGCAACGCCGCGUGAGUGAAGAAAAGGUUUUCGGAUCGUAAAACUCUGUUGUCAGAGAAGAACAAGUUGGAGAGUAACUGCUCCAGCCUUGACGGUAUCUGACCAGAAAGCCACGGCUAACUACGUGCCAGCCGCAGC